rnacentral:ribozyme from 18 species
UUUCAAUUUUUUAUUUUUUUUUUUAACAACCUGAGAUGUGCUUUAUUUGCCUUAAACUUUCUAGCAAUGGUGUUAUAAUAAUAGAGUGAGGACAAUGCCAGGUGUGGUAGUCAUGCAAUAAAAA